rnacentral:lncRNA from 1 species
CUCAAGCAAGGUCCACUUGCAGUGAAAUAAACCAGAGGUUUGAAUCAUGGCUUGAUACGAAAUUAUUGGAAAGAAUAUGGCGAUGACAUCCACAAUGCCGAGUGCACACCUUCUACUUAUUAAAAAAAAAAACAAACUGUAAAACAGCAUCAUGCAGGUUCUUCAGGAGAGAUUCCAGAGGAAGGCAUUGUUGUGGUAGAAGAUGACAGUUCCACAGGUGUUACUAGCCAUGAAGAUCUUCCAGUGAGACAAGAUGUGGAGGUGGAAGACAGUGAUAUUGAUGAUUCUGAUCCUGUUGUUAUAAAUAAAGUUUCGGUUCCACAAAAGAAAUAGCACUUGAACAUAAAAUUUUCUUAUUUUCUUCA